ACUCACGCACGCACGCACACGCACACAGAGGAAAUGUGCGGAGAUCACAUUUGGAGUGCUUGCUGUGUUGGUGCCUGCAUUGUGACUGGGUUUGAGGGAUCACGGGUGUGUCCUGGGCAGUAAGCCCGGAUGGUAAAAGUGCUCCAGGGGAGGAAGAGGAAAAAACAGAUCACAAAGAGGCACAAUACACCAGCAGAUGUGGUGCCUGUGCACGGCAGCCGUGGUUACUGCAGACGGCAGUGAAAACCAGCUUCAGAGAAGCAGAAUGAAAUUCUCCAGAAAGGAGGCUUGGAGCUGUGGGUAACACAGGACCCAACCAAAGAUGGCUUACGCUACAAGGAGUUGAUGGCCCUGAGUCACAAAGUGUCUCAUCUGGAGACCUUUCCCAUUUGGCUCCUGGAUACGUGAACCAGUCUUCUAGAAUGGUCCUCUGCAACCAGCUGCACACCAACCUGAGCAACUGUUCUUUGCCAUUUGUGACCACGGACCAUUUUAGGAAUCGGACCCAUUUCCACAUCUCCCUUCAAGAAAGUCCCCCUGCCCACCACAGCCAAGGGGCCUUAUCUUCUGCUAACCACUUGCUAGAGGACUUGCUGAGGACAGCUUUGUCUCAUCAUGAAGGUCAAGAACAGUUUCCCUCACUAGACUAAGAGCCCCCAAGGAUAGAACUUUGUACACCUACCAGAUUGGCGACCCCCUGGAGCCUGGGCUCCCCAAGGACAGAGGUUACUUCUCUACAUUAGACUGGGAGAGCUCUUUGAGGCCAACAAUGACCUCUUCCAUUAAACCCAGAGCUCCCCACCACAGCAUCAUCAGGCCUGCUCACCGGGAA